GAUGAACGCUGGCGGCGUGCUUAACACAUGCAAGUCGAACGGAAAGGCCCAAGCUUGCUUGGGUACUCGAGUGGCGAACGGGUGAGUAACACGUGGGUGAUCUGCCCUGCACUUCGGGAUAAGCCUGGGAAACUGGGUCUAAUACCGGAUAGGACGAUGGUUUGGAUGCCAUUGUGGAAAGUUUUUUCGGUGUGGGAUGAGCUCGCGGCCUAUCAGCUUGUUGGUGGGGUAAUGGCCUACCAAGGCGUCGGCGGGUAGCCGGCCUGAGAGGGUGUACGGCCACAUUGGGACUGGGAUACGGCCCAGACUCCUACGGGAGGCAGCAGUGGGGAAUAUUGCACAAUGGGCGCAAGCCUGAUGCAGCGACGCCGCGUGGGGGAUGACGGCCUUCGGGUUGUAAACUCCUUUCGCUAGGGACGAAGCGUUUUGUGACGGUACCUGGAGAAGAAGCACCGGCUAACUACGUG
rnacentral:rRNA from 1 species